GUGCAGGAUGCGGCUUCCGGUGCCCAGGGCGCGGGGCGUGCGGCGUGGGCGGCGUCCCCGAAGACUAGGACGGCUUCGGCGGGGGUUCUCUGCUCCAAAUGGGGUCCUCCGCUCCCUCGGGGCUCGGGGCCCCCCAAGUGGGCACGUGGACGUGAGAAAUCGACCCUAAAGAACCACGAGACUAAAAUAAACUUACCACCUUUAUAGAAGGAAUGUUGAAGAACAAGGUGGAUGACGUUUUGAUGUCGCUGUUAAGCAAAUACAUAAAGGCUCGCCAUUUGGCCGUUUGCUCUGGAUCUUUGAUAAGGAUGGAACAUGGAGGAAAGGAGAAAGCUGCGGUGCUGGCUUCCCGGGGCCAGAACUUGGGGAACUUAGGAGGACACAGAAGGAGCUUGUUUUCUGCCGCCUGAGCUGUUCUCCAGUGCAAGAGGGUGAUUGGAUUUAAAGAGGGAGCCAUUAGGUGACUUCACUUAAAAUGGGGACCACAUCGGAAUAGUGUGGAUAGAGGGAGUGAUUGAGAAUCUAUCUUGAAAGAUGAAAAAAAAGGAAAUGUGUCUUAUUUUCAAGAAAUCUUAGGUUAUGAAUGCAAUUAUAAUGUUAAUCUCUAGAACCAACAAAGUAAUCAAGUGUUGAUGGGGGUGGGAUAUGUGUCAUAUUUUUUGCAACAAAUUGAAUGCUGGUUGAAGACACCAUCCAGCACGUUAUGUGUGAUUUUCCCAGCUCUGGUGUAAAGAGGAUUGGCUUUGCUGAAAUUUCUAAAGGCGUCAUCAGUUUUCCCAACUCCCUCUUAAUCCUCUGCUGCUCAGAUCCUUUCUUGUUGCAGUGCACCCUGUCGUAGCCUCGUCUCCUUCCUGGCCUGACUUGCCCACCUGUCCAGCAUGGCCAGACCCGACUCACUUGACAAUGGCUUCGGGCUCCACCUGCACAUUCCCUUACGCAAGGCCUCAGGUGAUGGACUCCUGCCCUCCUGCACAUGCCAGUCUUGGGGUGAACAAGCUGCUUUGGUCCUUGGCAGCUCUGUGACUUCAGGCAACUUGCCCUCUAAGUCUCGGUUUCUCCAUUUAAAAAUGGAGAUAACAACUGUUCCCCCCUUAUAGGAUUAGGUGAGGUGGUUCAUGAACAGUGGACCCUGGAACUUCAUAAAUUGAGCUAUUAAAUUUAUCAUCAGCCAAUGGUUCUCUCCAUCCUUAAAUAAACAAAAUCCUGCUGCUUUAUGCCAGGUGAGGAGUAGCUUGAGUGCAAACUGGCCCUUGCAGCUUGAGGGGUUGCGUCCAGGAAACUGCUUACUGUCCCGAACUUCCGGGCCACACGGAGCCUCCCUCCAAGCCCAGGGGUAGGGGGUGCCCUCCUCGAGGUCCCUAGGGGCCCCCAGGGUCUGCCCCAGCAACUGUCUUGAAGGCCUGGGGCCUUUAGGUCAGACCUACCUGACAUCCUAAGUUUUGAGAGAAGUGGUAGGAAGAAACGAUUUAAUUUAUUCGAAUGAUGAUCACUGGGCACUUUCUCUGCUGGUCUUUGGAAAGGAGCCGGCCACAGACACCUGGGGCUCAGGCUCGCUGCAGGCGGGGGUCGCAGGCCCUCGUGUUUUGGAAAGAAGGAGGGAAGAGGCAUCUGCUGGGAUUCUCUCAGGAGCCAGGGAUGGAAACCCCUGUUUGAUGGCCUCAUGCCCCGGACGGCUGAAAGGCCCCUUGGCACGGAGAUUUCUCUGCCAUCUCUUACCUGUAGUUGUUCCGGCUGCAUUCUCGGGGGGCCUGGCCUCGUGCCGUGGUGAAGGGGUGUCCCUCCGCAGGGGGUACGUCACGGCACCUUCUUCUCCCCAGUGUUCCCGGCGGAAGUGUGGGGACCGGCUCUUUAGACCAGCCAGGGCCACGUGCCUGUCCUAAACAAUUGCCACGUCCACGGUUCGGAAGCCAAAAGGCACUGCUGGGAAAUACAUGGGUCAAAGGAGAAAUUGUCAUGGGAAUCAUGGAAUACUUAAAACUAUGCGAGGUGAAAAGGCAACAUGAGACCUAGUGGGAUGCAGCUAAAUAGGGGUUUAGAAGGAAAUGUGUAUCUUUAAAUGCGUACCUUAGAAGAAAAGAAAGAUUGAAAAUUAAUGAACUGGAUCUUCAAGUCAAGAUACUAGAAAAAGGAACAGCAAAGUAAACCCAAGAAAAAAGAAGGGAAUGAUAACAGGGAUAAUAAAGCAAGAGCAGGAAUUAAGGUAGAAAACAAAGAAACAAGUGAGCAGAAAAACAAACCCAGAAGAUGUCCACAUCUUAAAUAAAAAGUAAGUAAAUUAGUAAAAUAUGAAUUUAAAAUACAUCAUGUCCAAAUAUUGCAUGACCUCAGCAAUAUGAAGUAAUUAGAAGAAGCCAACGGACAGAGCCAAAUCUAGGAUAUGGUAUAGGUUACCAGGGGCUGGGGUAGUGGUAGGGAAUGAUCUGGUAGGACUUAUAUUGUACAGUUCCUAUUUGGGUUGAUUGUAAAGUUUUGGUGAUGAACGGUGGUGAUGGUAGCACAACAUUGUGAAUAUAUAAUUGAUAGCCUGAAUUAUGUAUUUGAAUGUGGUUAAAAGGGGAAAUUAUAGGUUGUAUAGAUGGAACUAGAAUAAAAAUUUUUUAAAAAGCAACAUAUGACUUUACAACACAGGGGACCUUGUUGGCCUAUGGUUAAUAGCACGAUUAUAAAAAUAUUAUAAAAAUAUUCUUUAAGGAACUGUAACAAGCGUACCACAAGUUGACCCUAAGAAUUUAUAUGGAAGAGUAAAAAGCCAAGAAUGGCCACAACAGUUUGGAAGACGAGGGAGGGGAGUCUCAGCACCUUCACUAGAAAACUGUGGUCAUAACACAGUGUGAUGAUGGUGAGGGGUUGACGGGGGGAGUGGGGGCACGUAGAGAACAGACCCGCAAAUCUAAGGGAGCUUGGCUGACAACCAGAUGCAACUUGUAAACAAAUGGGGUUGGGACAACUGGCUGUCUAUAAGAGAUCUCUAGCUCAUACCGUAUGCAAAAAUUGAUUCAGAUGAGCUAAAGGCUUAAAUAUGAAAAUGUUUAGAAGAAAAUAUAAAUGAAUAUCUUUUUGAUAUUUUGGGAUUUUUUAAGACCUAAAAAAUAUAAAUCAAAAGGAGAAAGAUGGAUAAAUUUGUCUAUGGAAAAAUUAAGAAUGUCUCUAUAACGAAAACGUAAACGAAGUUAAAAUAUAAACUGUACAGGUGGGAAACUAAAACUUCAAGGGAUAAAAUGACAGAGUCAUG